rnacentral:rRNA from 1 species
ACUAGUACCGUGAGGGAAAGGUGAAAAGAACCCUAAGAAAGGGAGUGAAAAGAACCUGAAACCGUGUGCUUACAAGCGGUCGGAGUCCUGAGUGAUCGGGAUGACGGCGUGCCUUUUGCAUAAUGAGCCUACGAGUUACACCUUACUAGCGAGUUUAAGUGCUUCAGGCACGAAGGCGAAGCGAAAGCGAGUCUGAACAGGGCGAUGCAGCUAGUAGGGGUAGACGCGAAACCGAGUGAUCUACCCAUGGGCAGGCUGAAGUUGGGAUAGUCUCCCAAUGGAGGGCCGAACCAGUNNNNNNNNNNAAACGUUGAAAAGUUUUUUUUUUUUUUUUGGGUAGGGGUGAAAGGCCAAUCAAACUCGGAGAUAGCUCGUACUCCCCGAAAUGCAUUUAGGUGCAGCGCCAGGGAGAGUGUCAUGGAGGUAGAGCUACCAAUAAGGCUAGGGGGCUUCACCGCCUACCAACCCUUGAUGAACUCCGAAUGCCAUGACACUGCACUGGCAGUGAGGCUACGGGUGCUAAGGUCCGUGGCCGAGAGGGAAAGAACCCAGACCAUCAGCUAAGGCCCCCAAGUAUAUGCUAAGUUGAUGGAACGAGGUGGGGAUGCUAUGACAGCUAGGAUGUUGGCUUGGAAGCAGCCACUCAUUUAAAGAGUGCGUAACAGCUCACUAGUCGAGCGUUCCUGCGCGGAAAAUGAUCGGGCAUCAAGCAUAUCGCCGAAGCUAUGGAUUGUACGACUAGGUUGUACAGUGGUAGGGGAGCAUUCCAGUGGCGUAGAAGCUGUGCUGUGAGGCAUGGUGGAGCAGCUGGAAAAGAAAAUGUAGGCAUGAGUAACGAUAAAACGGGUGAGAUACCCGUUCGCCGUAAGACUAAGGGUUCCUCGAUCGAUGUUAAUCAGAUCAGGGUUAGUCGGGUCCUAAGGUGUAGCCGAAAGGCGAAGCUAAUGGCAAACUGGUUAAUAUUCCAGUACCUGCAUACA